rnacentral:lncRNA from 1 species
GCGCAACUCAGACCACUGGAGCGGAGUAGUAUCUGGAGUUUCUGUAACAUCCUUUCCCUUUUUUUUUUUUUUUAAAGCCAGAGCCUCUGUCGCCCAGGCUGCAGUACAGUGGCGUAAUCUCAGCUCACUGCAACCUCUGCCUCCCGGGAUCAAGCGAUUCUCCUUCCUCAGCCUCCCGAGUAGCUGGGAUUACAGGUUCAAGAGAUUCUUCUGCCUCAGCCUCCCAAGUAGCUGGCACUGCAGACACGCACCACCACACCCAGGCUACACAGAACAACAUCAUUAGCAACAUUGUUUCAGCAAGGAAAUAAUCCUUAUUGGCAAAGGGAAACCAAGGAAAGAAAACUAUUGUUUUCUUCGGCUACAUGCUGUCUGCAAAGCACCCCAUGGAUUCAAUUUCUCAUCAAUUCAGAAUGGAAUACUAACGUGCUGCCUAGAGAUACAGAAGUGGGAUGAACGCAGGGCCUUACUCAGCAUUCAGAACAAAACUGAUGGUGCUAGCAUAUAUAAGACUGAAACACCAAAGUCCUCCGUGGAAGUUAAUGAAUUUCUGGUUAUGAGUUGGAUUCUUCAGCGGAGUAUUUGAGCCAUGCCUUGAGGCACAUACUUCAAGUUGCUGCAUCCAGUUUUAAACUCCAGAUUGAGCUUUACAUAUUAAAUGUGCACAUUUGUUUUCACAUUUUUGAGCUUUGCCAGUGGCACCCUCUCUAAUUAAUCAUCCCGCGGGCUUAGAAAACUUCUGCCCAAUCCUUUCUGAUUUGUUAAAAGAAAGAGAGAAGGUUUUAGUCUGAAAAAGGCCUUAUCUGAUAAACAUCACAUUAUAUGGAUUUUUACAUUUAAGUACAUUUUCUUUUUAAAUCCGGUGGCUUUCCCAAACUAGAAAGAUGGAGUGUUUGCAUACAUCCACCAACCACCAACAUCAGCAGAAAGAAAGCUUGAUACAGUAAAGGAAAGAAAUGGCAAUUUAACAGUUCUUUUAUUUUCCAUUCAGAUCACAUACACAUUAACCAAAUGAGGCCUCACAGCGUGGAAUCUGAUAUCAUAGCAAUGUUUUCAGGAAGCAAUAAUUGAAUACUCCUCAUUAAAAAGGUUCAUAAAAGAAUCCUAUUAAAACCAAUACGAAUAAUAAACCUUGAAAAUGCUGCUUUAAAUUCCAAGAGGAUGGCGAAGAUCUGCGUCAGUAACAGUCUUCCUGUUCAUAGAGUGAUUUUGAAAAUCUCGUGGGCUGAAUUUUUCCAAGCCAAGCAGGCAUCUCACUAUCCAGUGAAAGACCCAGGGACUAUUUUGAAUGCAUUCAAUCCAAGCCUGUGCCUUUCACAGUCAGUUUUCUCCAAGAAUUUAUCCCUAAUCCUGACAGGAUACCCAACCAAAAGGCUAAUUAUUUUUAGUCACUUAAUUAAUAGAUAAUUCUUACAAAGAGCCCAACACCUGAACCCACCAAGUCCUCUUUGCAUGGGCAAAUCCAGCUGGUUUGAUGCACUAAUUUCACUAAAUGAAAAUUUGGACAAAUUUUAUGUUACUGCAAAUAAUGGUAAAUGUAUCCAAUUCAAAAAAUAGUAAUAAAAAGGUUAUUUUUUUGUUCCCUUUUUAAUCACAGAGGCAGCUGUGGUAGACCCCAAAUGCACAGGGCAUAUGGCUCACCUCACCACCCCAGAUGGUGCUACUGGCCCAGCCUUCCCAGCGUCCACCCUGGCAGUCUUUCCUCAUUCCCUUGGCCCUCACCCUGUCUCCUCAGCCUUCCAGCUGCACUGCUAUUGUAGGCUGCUCUUUCUCGACAAUCUCCUCUUAUUUUCUGUGAUGUCUCAGGAUGUUUCUUCUUCUCAGGGGUUUUCCAAGCUUCUUCCACACUCAGGUGCUCAGACGUUUUUAUGGUCUGGCUUCUGAAGGAGAUCAAAAUUCAUAUGGACAGGCAUUUGUGUAUUAGCCAAGAGUUGCUAAUGCAUUUCUUGAUCAUAAGUCUCAGAGAAAUGGGAUGAAAGAUCUUAGAUUUUUAUACACUCUGCUUCAAUGAUUUCUCAGCUUUUCUGAUCUGAAAAGAAUAAAGGACACCUUUUAGCUAAGCACUUUCUGUUUUAUUUCUUAUAAUGCCAUGUAGUGGCUGUUACUGCCAACACAGCAGUCAUUUAAUAAACCCUGAAUGUCUGUA